UACGUAGGGUGCAAGCGUUAAUCGGAAUUACUGGGCGUAAAGCGUGCGCAGGCGGUUGUGCAAGACCGAUGUGAAAUCCCCGGGCUCAACCUGGGAAUGGCAUUGGUGACUGCACGGCUAGAGUGUGUCAGAGGGGGGGUAGAAUUCCACGUGUAGCAGUGAAAUGCGUAGAGAUGUGGAGGAAUACCGAUGGCGAAGGCAGCCCCCUGGGAUAACACUGACGCUCAUGCACGAAAGCGUGGGGGAGCAAACAGG
rnacentral:rRNA from 1 species